rnacentral:rRNA from 1 species
GCCUACGGCCAUCCCACCCUGGUAACGCCCGAUCUCGUCUGAUCUCGGAAGCUAAGCAGGGUCGGGCCUGGUUAGUAACUUGGAUGGAGGACCUCCUGGAAACCGGGUGCUGUAGCUU